GCCAUCGUGGUGCAAUGGCAGCACACUCGACGCGUAUUCGAGAGGCCCAGGUUCGAAUCCCGGCGAGGCCA
rnacentral:tRNA from 1 species